UACGGAGGGAGCUAGCGUUGUUCGGAAUUACUGGGCGUAAAGGGCACGUAGGCGGCUUUGUAAGUUAGAGGUGAAAGCCCGGGGCUCAACCCCGGAAUUGCCUUUAAGACUGCAUCGCUUGAAUACGGGAGAGGUGAGUGGAAUUCCGAGUGUAGAGGUGAAAUUCGUAGAUAUUCGGAAGAACACCAGUGGCGAAGGCGGCUCACUGGACCGGCAUUGACGCUGAGGUGCGAAAGCGUGGGGAGCAAACAGG
rnacentral:rRNA from 1 species